rnacentral:rRNA from 1 species
AUUGAACGCUGGCGGCAGGCCUAACACAUGCAAGUCGAGCGGAUGAAGGGAGCUUGCUCCUGGAUUCAGCGGCGGACGGGUGAGUAAUGCCUAGGAAUCUGCCUGGUAGUGGGGGAUAACGUCCAGAAACGGGCGCUAAUACCGCAUACGUCCUGAGGGAGAAAGUGGGGGAUCUUCGGACCUCACGCUAUCAGAUGAGCCUAGGUCGGAUUAGCUAGUUGGUGGGGUAAAGGCCUACCAAGGCGACGAUCCGUAACUGGUCUGAGAGGAUGAUCAGUCACACUGGAACUGAGACACGGUCCAGACUCCUACGGGAGGCAGCAGUGGGGAAUAUUGGACAAUGGGCGAAAGCCUGAUCCAGCCAUGCCGCGUGUGUGAAGAAGGUCUUCGGAUUGUAAAGCACUUUAAGUUGGGAGGAAGGGCAGUAAGUUAGUACCUUGCUGUUUUGACGUUACCAACAGAAUAAGCACCGGCUAACUUCGUG